AGGCCUCAGAUCCUCAUCAGGAAAAAAACUUAUCGUGUCCUGCUCCUCACACGACACGCGGCACGCCGGCGACGGCAAGGGCGCACCGAGAACGGCGGCGGCUCCAUCACCCUCGCCCGCGGCCGACGCCCCUCGCUCACUAUCCUCCUCCGCCUGUGAAAUUCCGGUUCCCUCCCCGUCCCCUGCUCCCCAUCGGCUACUGGCGUCCCUGCCCCGCAGGCCAUGGCCGCUGCUGUCCCCGUCUCCCUCUUGCCUACUGCGGUCGGGCAUCCUCCCGCAAGAAGAACACCUUUUUGCGCCGUGUCGUACAAAAGGAGAAGGACUGCGGUGACGCGGGUCAGCUGUGCUGCUGGCGACCAAGAAGAGGAAGUCGACGAUCUUGGAGUCAACGUUGCACUAUCCAUGCUAAAAUUCUACAAAAGAGAGAUAUCACCGUUACUACCUUCAAGUUGCCGUUAUGUACCAACAUGCAGUGAGUACUCUAUGCAUGCAUACAAAAGGUACGGUGUCGCGAAGGGUACGAUCUUGACAGCAUGGCGUCUGUGCCGUUGUAAUCCUCUUGGUGGACAGGGAUAUGAUCCUCCAAGGUGGUUUGGCGAGGAAGAGUUACCUGAGGAAUAAUGGCUGGUAAUUACUGGAGAAGCACAUGUGCCCAAUCGUGCUGUUGCAUACAGUUGUAUUACGUUUUAAGUAAAUAACUCUAUACAACAACUAAAAGAGGAGAAAACAAUGAAUAGUGUCAAGACCCAAGUGGCUUUUGUUGUUUCCCAAAACCUGCACAGAAGCUACCAAUAUUUUAUUUGCAUCGGGAUUUGGUCAGAAAAUUUUAUUAAAUAAAGAUUGGCCUAUUCCUAAACAUGAACACAAUACAAAAUUCAUGUGGACCCAGAUGAAAGGUGAGCAUUGGCAUAUUCCUGCAUGAAGACUAUUCAAAAUUCAUGUGGACCCAGAUGAAAGGUGAGCAUUGGCAUAUUCCUGCAUGAAGACAAUACAAAAUUUCUUCCUGUGGACCCCAGAUGAAAGAUGAGCAUUGGCAUAUUCCUGUACAUGAAGACAAUAGAUUUUUUUUUUCAAAACUACAUGUUGGUGGAAAUUUCAAUGUACAAUAUACAAAAAAUAUAAUUAAGGGGUACAAGCAUGAUUCUGCUCUUUCUUA